GGGUCCAUUAUAUAUUAUCGGCACAAAUAUUAAAAUGGAAAAAAUAGAGAGAAGAUUAGCAUGCCCCCUUCGCAGGGAUGACGCGCGCACAUCGAGAAAUGGUUCCAAAUGUUU
rnacentral:snRNA from 1 species